UGUACUGGUGGGGUUCCCUGAGGCCUGGAGAUAGUUUUGUUUUCUCUCCAGGGUUUCCCCUCGGAUUGUGAGGGCAGGAUGGGGUGGACGGAGGAGAGUGGGAGGCCCCACUUCGACGUUGAUGCCAAACUCGGGAGAUUUAGGAUCUACCUAGCACCAGGCAUGACUCUUACACGUCACUUAAUCACGGGAUAUUGUGAAGACUGAAUGAAAAGUGCCUGCUUUAACAUCUAGCGCGAAUUUCUAACAGGGCGUGAUGCUCGGAGGCGGAAUAGGUGUGAUAUCAUCGAUACACAACCACAGGACUUACGACAGGACUUAUUAUCUACAUGGACUCCGUCCGAAGUCAGUAAGAGCUAUGAGAAUGUCAUCUGGAACCCAGAAGC